UGCUUUGCCUAUGGCUUGAAUGCUAUUUCUCCAUGAAAAGGUUGGAUAAAAUAGACGGCCCCCCCUCUCCUUCCUGCUUGUCCUUUUCUUGGUCUUAACUCUCAGGGAACAUCUCUCCCACCAACCCCCUCCAAUAGGUAGAAAUGUCUUUUUCAGAUAUUACUCCUUCCUCCACAACAAAGUCACAGUAAUCCGCAUUAUAUCAUAUGCCACUUUAAACCCUGUAUAUAUAAACCCUGUAUAUCUUUGCACUCUUUCAUUUAUUAUAUAAUAAAUGAAAGAGUGAAAAUAAAGUACUGGGAGACUAGAAAUCCUCAUCACUGUUUCGUAUAGAUAAAAAUGGGAUUCCUUCAAGUGCCUUUUUCUUGCACCUGUUUCAUCAAUCCAGUUGAUCAACCGCCGUCUUCUAAGUCCCUGUCUGCACCUUCCAGGAAGCUCAGGGGAGAAGAAGCUCACCGAUUAAGAGGCAAAGAUGCUGACGCUACAGGAUGCGGCCGACCGGCUCUUCCCGCUUUGCUUCUCCACCUCCCUGCUCCACACGGUAUUCAGGAUAAAAAUUAAAAUGGAUGCCAUUCAUGUGAGUCCCAGCUUGCUCUGAGAAGAAAGGGUAAUUCUGGCCAGCCUUGUUAAUUGGAUUACAGUUAAUUUGGUCUUGAAGUACCUUUGGAACAAAAAAGCAAAGGAAAUAUAAUGAGCAUGGAUUUUAUAUAGGAUUUUUUUUUCUAAAAAAAAAAAGAUAAAAAACCUUUAAUGCAUUUUUCUGUGUGAUUGCCUGGCUCCGUGAGUGGUCGUUUAAUGAAGUUGAAUUAAAAGUAGUCAAAUAGUAUCUAUUCGUAUUCAACAAAGUCCUGAAAGAAAAUGGCAAAUUCAAAUGUCCUUAGGUUAUGAGAGUCCUGCUUAAAAAGAACCCCAGCCUUCCUGACACUUCCUGUGCUGUGUUAUGACGUGUGGCCAUUGCAGGGAUACAGGGGUUUAGGUGCUGAGGGAGGCUCAUGAGAGUCC
rnacentral:lncRNA from 1 species